rnacentral:lncRNA from 1 species
AAUUCGUAUGGGGUAGGCAUUAUGACAUACAAAAAAGGUGCCAGCUAACUAGAGCUUUAGACUGAUGUACCUACCUUGCCAUUGAUUUGAUGCUGUGAUGCUGAGGCACAGUUAGAAGAGACAGCACUAGUGGUGAUAUCUGGGGUAGAGAUUGGCUAAAAUGUGUUGGAUUAUUCUCUUCAGCCAAUGUGUGCACAUUUGUGCAUGCCAAGAUCCAUGAAAAGCAAGAGAACUGAUGAAAAUAUCUAAAAUGUGCUGCAUGUGUCUUGAAACACUUCUGAUUGGACCUGGGCUGCAAGAUUUGAUAUGGGUAAAGAGUUGAAAUUUAGAUAGCUGGGUGUUUGUGCUCAAUGUCAGUACGUCAUCGUGUGGCCAGUCGAGUUCUGCUGUUUCUCAAAAUCUUUCACAUGAGGCGCAUUUUUAAGUAGUUGGAUAGGUGCUUUAUAAGUAUGCUACGCAUUAAAUAGUUGAUGUUCUUUUUUCUGGCAUUUCUGUACAGAGUUGUUUCAUGGAGACUACAUUCUGUAACCUUGGCAAAACUCGCCGAGGUAUAACAAAAUCUCAAUCGGUUCUCCAGCUGUACGCUUUUCAGGAUUUUAAAGAUGCAAUAAAAGUGGUCAAACUAAAUUUUCAAUGGACAGAAUUAAUUUGCUCCUGUAGGGGUUACUGUCUUGCAUUGCUAUUCUUGGUAGGAGGUUAUUGGAAAUUCGUAUCUGCUAAAAGCUUUAUGCCAGCAGACAAGUAGAAUCUAACUUCUCGCUGGAGCUGUGCUUCCCAAGCUUUGCUUGGCACAUUCUUAUUUCAGGGCAUUGUGACUGAAAAAGAAAAAAAAAAAUUAACAAGAGAGGAGUUUGAGUCAGCAUAUGUAGUUUGGAGACAUGCUUAGCGCUAACCCUCCUUGUGAUGCUAGUGCUACCACGGCAGCCUGACACUUGCGUGGCACCAUACUUGUGUGAUAGUGGUAAUGUGUGCAUGUCGUACGAAACUCCCGGAAAACCUAUGUUGGCUAUUUUUUUUAGCAGCUGUUUGUACCCUGUGUGUAUUUCUCUUGUGCAGCUGGAGUUGCGUCUAACACCUUGCUUCCCACUGCCGUGCCGCUGGUAGAGUGCCCCAUAGACCGGCAGCGACGCCGACGUUCUCCCUACAUCAACCAAGUGGGCAGGUACCAGUGUUCUUUCUGUCCUUACCGCACUGACUACCAGACCAACCUGAUAGCGCACCAGCGUACACACACAGGGGAAAGACCAUUCCGCUGCAGCUUCUGUGCCAAGGGGUUCGCCCAAAAGAGCAACCUGAAAUCCCACCUGAAGAGGCACAUCACUGAUGCUGUCGCCCAGUGAAUUUGCCGACUCUCUGCUGGUUUGUGCUUGUGUGUGCCCCACUAAACAAGCAGCUGAGUGAGAACUAUGUUCUAGUAGCGUCACUUUGUCUUCUAAGUAAUGUCAUUUUUUCACAAGAAAAUGUUUCUCUUAUGUGGCCAUCUGGUGGAUGCAUAUGUUCACAUAGUUCAAGCAUGUGUGCUUAUAAUUUAAUUGCAAGGGAAAUAUGUGUAAGCGAGAAAAAGAAAUAGUAGACAAAUUGUGCUGGACAAGUUAUUAUAUUGGUGCUGCUUUACCUGGUGGUAGUGACAGUAGUAUUCAACAGUUAUGUCCCUACUUUCCAGCCAGAAAAUUCAUCUUCAACGAGCAGCUAAAAUGGCACCUAUUGUGAACAGAUUAGGCUUAGGCAUCAUAAAGCAACAAAGCUUACUCAUCUUUUCAUAUUUAUUUUGGUCCUGAACUCGAGUUAAACAUUCCAAUGUUUAAUCUGUUUUGCAUGUGUAGUGUACAGCCAAAACGAUUACAUGUGGCAUGAUGCACAUUCUUUUAAUUGUGCUUGCAUGUCAAUAUAAUGUUCGGAAGGGCAGCCAAUGUUUUGUUUUGUGAGCAGUUUAACUUGCAUGGGCUGAUCUAUUCCUUACCGGAACAUCUCAUUAGUAUGCACUCACACAUAACUUCAGCAUUUAUCCUAUUUUGCAGCAGACUUGUACUCCAUGCAACAUUUAGUACAAGUUUUUGUUUAUGGAAGAUGAAUAUGCAGCAUUUAAUGCCAGAUUUAAGUGCCAUAGCAUUUGAAUACUAGCAGAAUCCACUCUUUAAUAAGAGUUAACUGCACUGUACAUAGAGACUGCUGGAUUCAAAGCAAAAUUUACGCUGCAGAGAGAUAACUUUCUUGCACGAAGGACAAAUUUUAUGUUAAUUCACUCUUAAAAUUGAAGCCACCAUUUCUAUAAUACUGAGAUUUAGCAUUGCUACAGUAGCAUUUGCAAAAUUGAGUGUGUCGAACUCGCUAAAUUUGAUGGGAUCAUCUCUGCAUUUUUGUGCUUCAGGUCUGUCGCAGUACCAUGUGAGAGGUGUUGCUGUGAUUGUACAAUUUGAAUGGUGGGAAAUCAACAUAUGUGCUGUGUGCUUCAAGUAGAUUCCAAUUCAGAUCACGUCAUUUAAAUACUGUGAAUUCUUGCAUGUUAGAACUUGUCACACAACCAAAGUUUAUAAGUUCCUAAGGUGUUAAGUUAAAAUGUCAUUCUGGAGGUUCCUUACGUAAAAAUUUAUUUUUCUUGCUGGUGUUAGUGACCAAAGGAGUCAUCUGAGCUUAUACAAGCACUGAACUGGAAUAUCUUAGCACUAGUUCUUAUAAGGAUAAGAACAUCUGCUGAGGUUUGAACACUUUGAAGCUACAAGCCAAGUGUAACUUUUAGCCUCGGUGCUAACAACUAGUGUACAAUGCAUCAAAACACAAGUUUUUAUGUUCGUUUGUGCUGAUAAACAUAGUCAUUGAAAAUAGAAUUUCUUUAGUUUGUUUUAUUUUUGCUAAAGUUGUUUGCAUAAUUUGUAAAUAUUAUUCUAAAUCAGCCUUGAUUCAUAAAUUAUUUUGUUGCAUAAAAUGUUGACAUCUGACACUGAUCCUGAAUUUAAGUUUGGUGCAAUCAAAUGGCCUGGUUGUCAUAGGAAUUUAUAUCUUAUUUGCAUCCUUAAUUUGCAGUAAUACCAAACAUGUAUAUUUGUAACCAUUUGCUUCAGCUAGUGGUGAGAUAUUGACAAAUAGGACGACGUCUAACAACUUACAACUGCAGGAAUGCUCGAUCAAAAUUAUCCAGCAAAGAUUUACACAAUUUUUAUAUAUUAAUAAUAAUUUAUGUCAAGUACAGUGAUUCUUCAUAUUUUUUUCUUCUUGAUUACCUUUAUUGUGACAUCAAUGGUCUACUUGUGUAUCUUGACCAAUUAAGUUUGCUGGCAUGUUCUGAACAUUUGAUCAGAAAAUGUGGCAUUUACGAUUGAGGGACACUGUAAAUGGUGCAUGAAUAUUUUCUCCACCUAAUGAUUUCAGCCGUUGUAAUUUUGAAGACAAGGAAGAUCAUGUUAAGUUUUCUAACAGUGUUCUUGCUUUUUUACUUUCUAAUCUCAUUUGUUUUCUCUUUCUUUUUCUUUUUUUUUGUAUUUAUCUGAGAUUUCUAAUUUCUUUUUCUUUACACCUGUGAGGAAAAACAAAGUAUACAUGGUUGUUACAGCCAAGUGAAGCCAUUGAACAAGGAAGUGAAGGCUUGGCAUUGUCUGUUAGCUUCAUUGCGUUCACUGAAUCAAUACCCCCUCACUUUCCCUGAUUCUUCUCACUCAAAGUAUAGGUGAACGAGUUGUACCACAAAACUGUUUUACAAAGGCACCGGUGAGCUUUAACUUGGUGAAGUUUUUACAUCUGUUUUGUAAUUGUUUUCUAUUUAUUUCAUUACAUUGAAGGUAGUGAAUUUGUUACUCACCGAAAUUUCUUAUGCUUGGGUUUCCCAAGAUCUUGCAGCCUGUAACAACAACAACCAUAGUGCUGGAUAUUGCUUGUGCCUGUCAUAUCUUGCUGCCCAUGUGUAAUAGCACUGUGGUUUCUGUGAUUCCUGUGUGUGAGUCUUAGCAGAUUGUGUGAAAAUUGUAUGAAUCGACCAGUGUGCCUCUGCCUACAUAAGUAAAUUUUUCUGCAUAUAGUUUAAAGAGACAGUAAAAAAAUUAAGAUGGGUUUUUUUUGCAGAACUCUGUAUUCAUUUUGUUGACAAAAAAGUUUUGUUUAAUACUAAUACACAGAAUGAAGACGAAACUUUCAUUUUUGAAUACUGUGGCACUGACGACAUUGGUUUGAUCCAGAUUCUACAUUGCCUACUUGUCCUUGGGACCUUCCUUUUUUUUUAUUUGUGAGAAAUAUCUGUAAAAGUUGCCCUGUGGUGUCUUUGCAUACAUUCAAAUUAAAUGUAAUUGUUUCUUUCCUAUCGAUACACAGCUAAGUAGUUCUGAGCAGAUGUUGCUGAAAUCUCUGACAUCACAGGCAGCUAGCGCAGGAAUCUCAAGCAUGAUUGGCCUUGCCAGCAGAGUGACCUUGAAGGACAGCUGUCUACAGAAAGCCCUCUUCAUACCAGGAUCACCAUUUAAUAUGGCCACAAGGAAAUGCAGCAGGUGCGGCUAGCAAACAAACAUGAGCAUGACCCGACAUCCUUAACCUCUGCCACUGGACACACCACAGAGUGGAACAUCUCGUGUUUUCGUAAGCAUGGUUACUUGCACCUUUCAACUUUUUAUUUCUUAUCACAAGAGGUGCAGCUUCCUGUGGUGUCAUCUUUCAACAAAGGCAACUUUUCCUUCCAGCCCAAAGACUUAUGUGGGUGUGCUUUAAUCAGAAGCUGUAUCCUUCUGUCUGCAUGGCGAUGGACUACAUUUGCAUUCAUAAAAGGCAGAUGCCAAUUUUCAUUUUAUAUCAGGCUCCCUUCACAACUUUCCUGCUAACCCUUUGAGGUGCUGUGUACAUAAUUGUGGAGACCAACAUAGUGCAUUAACAGCAAAGGCAUUGAUAAACACAACGAUAUUGAAAACUUGUUGCUUACACUUUAAAAGACUUCUGAUUGGAAUAGUGCUGCAAGUUUCAAUAAAAAAAGGGCAGAAUGUUUUGGUAGAACCAGCGGGAAGGUCGAUGGUUGGGUAUAUUUGCUCUAUGUUUGGGUGUUGUGGUACGUAGUUCACUUCCUUCGUUAUUUUUCAUGAUGUUUUACACCAGGUAUAAUUUUCAAGUGGCUAGAUAGGUGCUUUUGAAGCCUGCUAGACAUGAAAUAGUUUAUCUUAUCAUAUUUGAUGUUCCUGUAAUGAGUUUUUGCAUGGAGUCCACUUUCUGUAAACUUGACAAAAAACACUAAAUAAGUGAAAAUUCUUAGUCUGUUCUGCAGCUGUAUGCUCCUAAUUAUUCUGAAGACGCAAGAAAUUCAGUAAAAGUAAGUUCUCAAUCAACAAUUAAUCAGCGCCUCAAAGGGUUAAAAAGAAGCGAUCCAAAUGCAUCGCAUUAUCUUGACAGCUGUAAUUCUCAUGAUUGGUUGAGUUAAAAAUUGAUAUAAAGAAUAUCAAUGUAUGAAAUUCCUGAUAUAACGAAGUAGUCAACUAUUUAUAGCUUGUCCAUAGAACAUCUAUGUGUUUUGAAUCUCAGUAUGACGAAGUCGGUGUAUGCAUGAUCUCAAUUCAGUGAAAUUUCAAUUCCGUAACAAAGCAAUACUGGGGCAAUAAAUGGGAACUUCCACGGAUGUUGAUGGUGAAAUGAUAGAAUUACAAGGGGCUGCUUGUGAACGCAUCUCUCAUACCGCGCACUGCGUGACUAAGAGCAACCGCUGAAGUGGAGCAGCACCAUGUUACAUAUAAAGUCCAGUGUGAUAACAUCCUAUCACACCCCCUGUGCUGUAUGCUUUAGGUGUAAGUGAAAGUGUGUGAGGGUGAGCCGAGGAGGAUGGUCGCUUGAUGAGCGCAGUCUUUCUGUGUGAGCCAAGGAAAAAGGGGGAGGGGAGCGAGCUCGCGGUAAAGCCAUCAAGUGCAAGCAAGGGAAAAGGGGGGGAGGGGCUAGUGCAGGUUGGUAUGCGUCUCCUGGUUUGGUGAGGCCGUGGCUGCGCAUGGCUGUCAGGGCGACCGAGUGCAUAUGCAGCUCGUGCACUUUUUUAAAGAUGGUCUGCUGCGUGUUCUCAUAGUUGGUUUGCCAAGAUGGCCUGACAUCAUGUGCUCUGUCUUCUCACAUGUUUGAUACUGGAGGUUGUGUACUUUCAAGUUCUGGAGAUGCGUUGGAGCA